rnacentral:rRNA from 1 species
UACGGGGGGGGCAAGCGUUGUUCGGAAUUACUGGGCGUAAAGGGCUUGUAGGUGGCCAACUAAGUCAGACGUGAAAUCCCUCGGCUUAACCGGGGAACUGCGUCUGAUACUGGAUGGCUCGAGGCAGGCAGGGGAGAUCGGAAUUCCUGGUGUAGCGGUGAAAUGCGCAGAUAUCAGGAGGAACACCGGUGGCGAAGGCGGAUCUCUGGGCCUGUCCUGACGCUCAGGCGCGAAAGCUAGGGGAGCAAACAGG